UUGCGAUCCUUGUUGGGUCGCCUCGUGCGCCGACCGUCAGGAGCAGCAGCACUCUCCGCGAGGAGGAUCCCAGCUCCAGGAAGAUUGUGAAGCCCUCGAUUCCCUACGCCUCCUCCAGCGCUCCAAACCCACGUCAAGCCGGCUAGAUUCUGGAGGCGCAGAGGAGCGGACAGGGUUUUCUUAGAUUUGUUUUCCUUUUGUUCUUUUGAUCGUGUGAUUGUUUGAUUUUUUUUUCCUCUGUUUGACAGAGUUGUGCGCGGCCGGAGCUUUCAAAUGCGUCACGGCUUCGUAUUAUCGUCUUUCCAUUCAUCCUCUCGUACACAAUGCUCCAUUUGGUCUCCCUGAUCAUGUGAACCAAGCACUCUUAACCACGGUCCUGGGACUUGGAUGGCUAGCUAUCUCUUUGUUGCGGCCAGCAGCCUCGCGAAGCUCUUGACUCAAUCGCCAUCAGAAGUUUCCAAGAGGCUUUGCAUGAAAGUUUUCACUUGCAUGUUUUCUAGCGGGAUUUGUUUUGUCGCGACCAUAAAACACGUCUUUCGCUGCCGAGGCAACCUGAUUUUUGCUCGUUCCUGCGCCUUUACGAGAAUUGGAGGGAACAUCCUUCAAGCAGUAAGACGCUUUGGGGAACAUUUGUCACUUGGGACGAUCACCAGAAGCAUUUCUCGAGUGAGUCACGUCAUUCUUUUCUCUCGUUCGUAAGAAUUGGUCAACAGUGAUAUCUUAUGGCACGUAUGCCUGUAAGAAUCCAGAAGAAGUAAAACCUUUUAACGAGCUCGCAGGAA